AUUGAUACCGUAACUUCGGGAGAAGGUAUGCCCUCUAAGGUUAAGGACUUGCUCCGUAAGCCCCGGAGGGUCGCAGAGAAUAGGUGGCUGCGACUGUUUAUUAAAAACACAGCACUCUGCUAACACGAAAGUGGACGUAUAGGGUGUGACGCCUGCCCGGUGCUGGAAGGUUAAUUGAAGAUGUGAGAGCAUCGGAUCGAA
rnacentral:rRNA from 1 species